GGACUAUAUACAUGUUCUCAUCCCACCUGAAGGGAAAUGAGGCAGAAGGUGUGUGCCAUCUUCUUUCUGAAGAUUCCACCAUUCAGGAAGGCACUGCAUGAUGAAUGUGGAGUGUGGAUAUGGGACCAGAUCCUAUUCCAUGAAGUGAAUGAGAUGGGAUGGUGAAAGAAGGUGAUGCAUCAGUGACGUAACCCCAGCCUUGCCUCUAGCUCCUCUUGAGAGAAAUAAGAGCAACAUGCCUUUACAGGUAGCACUUGAGAAAAAACACAAAACAGAGAGUGGGUAGCACUUCUGAAGCUUGUAUCGUUGAUUCACUGUUUUCCAAGGUGACUUGCACCACUGAGACAGGCCUACUAUGGACUGUUGUGAAACUGCUGACAUGCAACGGCAUAUGUCACACCUGAAAAUGGGAGUAAGGCUCACGUGGAGCUCUGCAGGGAUGACUACUGAAGGAGAUGAGCCUGGUCUAUGCAGCUCCAGUAUAGAAACCCUGUUGCUGCAUAAAGUUGGUUCUGAGUCCAAGCUAGUACAGCCUUCCUCUGGGUAGGGUGUAUCUGAUGCAAUCUGGACCUAUGGCUGUCUGAUCCCCAAACAAAACCACAUGAAUUUGUGAGAGAAAGCAGUAGGAAACAGAACUAGAAAACUGCUAUGUGUAUUACCCUGGUGCAAUGGCUACUUUUAAUAAUACUGACAUGGAGCAAUAGAAGAAGAAAGCAGCUAGAUAAGCGCUUCAAGCUGUGCUCAUCAUGAUGUGACCAUGUUUAACAGCACAGCUCCCAGAUGCACCAUGCCAACUCCACAAACCGUGAAAGCUGACUUUUCACACGCAGCUCAGACUUGUUUCUAGUUCCACGAGAAGCCCCAUUAAGUUGCUAUUCAUGCAAAUACAUGAAUGAAAUGCUGCGCUGUAUUUGCUACCCAGCAAGAUUUCAGACUCAGUCCUGAUCUCAAGCCCUUUAGUGGUGGUAAGGGAUCUUACCAGUGACUCCAACGGGCUGGAUCAGGCAUUCAACAUCUUGACUUCAUGGGGAAUUUGUGGUGGAAUUGAAAGGGUAGAAAUCAGCUCUUAACCUUUGGCUGCACACAGUUACUGAAGACUAUUCCCCCCAGUUGCUGGGCACAGCUAUAGGCUGAAGACUCAGCUCUGCACAGCCCUGCUUUCACAUUGCUCUGGCACACUGCACGUUUGCAGCAGCUUUCACAAGGAGUUCAGCUUCAGCUUGUAGCUUCCUCCCUCUCCCUCCCAUGUGCCAAAAAUGUGCCAGUUACAGAACAAAGGAAAUAUCACAGAGUCAGUUGGGUGGGAGAGCUACAGAGCCCAGCAAUUACCUGCUGUUAUCACCGUGGCUGUGCUUUCUGUCAUGUUAUAUUUCACAUUUGCAUAGCUGUGUGUAUUUGCUCUUUCAUCGCUGUUGUACGCAAGCUGUAAUCAGUUCAUUUUAUGGCUGUCUUCAGCUAAAUUCUUUGUUGAUUUUAACAUGACAGAAGUUGAAAAGAUUACAUAUUAUAAAUAGAUAAUUAAUAUAUCAGCACAGCUUGUUGCUCUCUGUCUCUCCAUCUCUUUAUGAGAAUCAGUUUCCUUUCCCUUUCUCUCCUCCACAUAGACUGCAUGAGAAUUAAAAUGAAGCCUGACAGCUUGAUUAAAAUUUCACCUGAUAUA